UACAGAGGGGGCAAGCGUUGUUCGGAAUUACUGGGCGUAAAGCGUGCGCAGGCGGUUUUGUAAGUCUGUUGUGAAAUCCCCGGGCUCAACCUGGGAAUGGCAAUGGAGACUGCAAGGCUAGAGUUUGGCAGAGGGGGGUAGAAUUCCACGUGUAGCAGUGAAAUGCGUAGAUAUGUGGAGGAACACCGAUGGCGAAGGCAGCCCCCUGGGUCAAAACUGACGCUCAUGCACGAAAGCGUGGGGAGCAAACAGG
rnacentral:rRNA from 1 species